rnacentral:rRNA from 1 species
CACGUAGUUGGCCGGUCCUUCUUCUCUCACUACCGUCACUUGCGCUUCGUCAUGAGCGAAAGAGGUUUACAACCCGAAGGCCGUCAUCCCUCACGCGGCGUUGCUGGAUCAGGCUUUCGCCCAUUGUCCAAUAUUCCCCACUGCUGCCUCCCGUAGGAGUCUGGGCCGUGUCUCAGUCCCAGUGUGGCCGGUCACCCUCUCAGGCCGGCUACCCGUCGAAGCCUUGGUGAGCCACUACCUCACCAACAAGCUGAUAGGCCGCGAGCACAUCCCUCACCGCUAAACACUUUCCACCCCACCACAUGCGUGGAAGGGUCAUAUCAGGUAUUAGCCACAGUUUCCCGUGGUUAUCCCUGAGUGAAGGGCAGAUUACUCACGUGUUACUCACCCGUUCGCCGCUCGUGUACCCCGAAGGGCCUUACCGCUCGACUUGCAUGUGUUAAGCACGCCGCCAGCGUUCGUCCUGAGCCAGGAUCAAACUCU